CUGUUGUCUAUACCCAGACAAAGGACUGAGCUAUCCUCCAACCAAGCCCAAGCUUGGGGGUCUGGGGAUGGGCAAUGGGAGGGGAUCAGAGCCAGCCAGACUGGGAGACUGCCUGCAGUCUUAGCCUCUGAUCCAGACGUUGUGUGAAGACAAGACUGAGAUAACCACUUUUUGUGGGACCGUGUGGGACCCUAGGCGCCCUCUCCCCCAUCCCGCUCGGCUCUCAGCACACGCCCUUGGGCUGAGCUAAGUCCAGAACCCGGCUGAGUAGGGGAAUUGUUCUGAGAAAGUGGCCCGUUGGCUGGUUGCUAUGGAAACCGACAUACCACAGCGUUGACCCCAGAGAGGUUUAGCACGCUCCCCCAGCAGGGAUGCCAGCAGCUGGACUGCAGCUGUUACAGCAUAAGUGGGGGCUGGAGCUGCCGCCAGCAGUCCCUGCUGUUUGCCUAAACUAGGCUGGGCAGCAGAGCCCCUCCGUGGACUCCGACCCCCACCUCCACCCCCAUCCCAAGCAUUACACUUGCUCCAGUCAGGAAAGGAGCCUGGUUCCAGCCAGGAUCGAUGGGGAUAGGGAUGGGAGCAGAGCUCAAGAGGAGAUCUCCAUGAAGCACAGCAUAUCCCUAAGGGUGCCCUGGGGAAACUGAGGCCCAAGGAAGAGGAGUUUUGGUUCCUGGUUAUACAACCAGAGCAUGGUUGGGGCUGGCCCAGGGCUCUGCCCCUCCAUGCUUGUGGUAAUUCCAUGGUAACUCAGCCUCCUUCACUCCAGACACCAAGGGACAUGAGGGAGGGGGCAUCCGAAAAUGAGAAACAAGAGCAGGAGGGAUUGGGAGGCGGGAAGCUGAUAACAGGAAUAGAAAGGAGCACACAAAGAGGAGAAGGCAUGUGAGUUUAUGAGCAGAUGGGAACGAGUGGGAGAAGUAGACAAAGUUGAGAGGCAGGGAGUUAGAGGAGGAGAAAAGAGAGGUGAGGAGGUGCUGGCGUGGAGGAGGGAUGGAUGAGACAGCCUAGCAGCUGGCUCCCCAGCUGUGGUCUGCAUUCCUCCCUGGCAAGAAGGCUUGGGUCCAGAGGAUUGCAUCAGAAAGCAGGACAGGACAAGAAACACGGGAAGAUGCAAAAAACAGAGGAGACAUGGAAGUGGAUUCCAGAUUUCGGGGAGGCAGCUCCUGCCAUUCUAUAAUGUCUAGAGUUCCUCAGGUGGCCUAAAGCCAACAUGCCAGCCAACUACCUGGACACCUAUGACCCUGUGCUAAACUGCACUCGAUCCCGAUGCUCAACAAAUACCUUUUCAGACAGAGAGGUGAGACUACUUCCCUCCUUGGGCAGCCCUAUAAGCUGGUCACCCAACCUAUUGUCUCUGUCAGGAGGCCGGAACAUAAGCCUUUACAUUCUCUCUAGACUGCCUUCUUUCCUGGCUCCCAGGUGUCAUCAUUCCUGCUAAUGAAAGGAAAGAUGUGGAAAGGAACUCUCUCUCCCAGGACCACUGCCACAUUCUCACCCCAGCCCUUUACCCUUCUUUUUUCAUGUAGAACUGGGUAUGCCACCAAAGCACCUUGUAAGCCAGUAGUCCUCCUUAGUCCUGGCCAAGACUCCUUCCUCCUCACUUCACAAUGAGUAACUUCCCUUUUAACUCCUCCUCACCAGCCAGCCUAAGCUUGGUCACAGGGCACUGGCAGAUUGUCUCCAUUCUCCUGCCCUUCUGAACCUCCAAGGAAUGGUUCUUAUGAUGGCUUGGCCUCAUGGGCACAGAGACAUGGGUCAGCGAGGGAAUGAACAGUCACUGUGACACACCAGAACUGGAAGUCUGAUUUGGCAAUGGGUCUGUAGAUUGCUUUUGCCUACAUACAACCUAUUCAACUUCUUAACAAAAAUGUGUUAUCUCAAAAUAUUUCUAUUAUGUUUUACUGAUCUGACAAGGACAGCAUCAGAGGUGAAGCCCUGCUUCUCCGGUUGGCCAACUCUCUUCCCAUUGAGCAAGACAUGCUCGCUGAUCAAUUGUGAACUCAGCUUCUACUUGGGAAGGAGAUUUGCUGGUCAAGAAUAUUGCUGAUGCUUCCCAUCUGGCCAGUGAGAUCAUUGAAGGCAUUUAUUGAGCAGAUGGCUCCUGACUCCAAACCUAGGCGAUGUGAGUGUGGUAACCAGGAAUGGCCAUGUGAAAAAGCCAUGCCAAACUCCUGACCAGAAAUCUGUAAUGAUAAAGGAACCACAACACAGAUCUAAUACACACAUGAGAGGAGUGAGUGGUAGGUGGCAGAGUAUUGUGAAGGCUGCAUGGUCACAGGGCACUGUCAUGUCCCAGAGAAGCAAUGUCCUGACCACUUAUCAAGGCAAAGUGACAUGCUCUCAGAGAAAUGACUGGUGUAGAGUUAAAAUGAAGCUGGGUCUCUAAGUGUAGAGUUAAAAUGAAGCUGGGUCUAUAAAACCAUCCCAUCCAUCUAGACUCUAAAAAGCAUCAACAUCCCUUUCUAACAGCAAGCAUCUCUCUGUACCCCUUAACCAUGAGAGGGUAAGCCAGAACCCGGGACUAGAAUUCAUAUUCUAAAUCACAUUGUGAGUUGGUCAUAAACCAUUUGAGUGAGUCAGCAUUUAGUUUGUAAAUCAUCACCACCAUUGCCAUCUUAUUUAAAAUAUCACCUCCUGUCCCACAGUGAAAGCUUAUUGUUCCCAACUGGUGACUGAACAGAGAGCGGCAGACAUCAGCCAAGCCCAAACGUAACCAACCAAGGCUCACUUUUGGGCCAGAAAUCUUAUCCCUAUAGCAUAAGACCUCUGUGUUAGUGUUUCCUAGUCUCACAGACUCUAGCGCACGGCAGAUGUCUAGUAAACACAUGCUGAGCUGGAAAAAAAAAUCAUUUGUCCUGAAGGCCAUUGCAAGAUGUGUUCAGCCCUGACUGUAAGAAUGGGCCUGGGGAAGGGAAAGAAAGGGAAGGGAAAAGAGAUCUUUCAGCAAGGACAUGCAUGAAUGACCUGUUGCAAGGGACAUCGUCCCAGUCAUUGUAUGGUCGUUUUGAAGGAAUAAUGAUAAAGGCAACUGAACUUGGUUUUUGUUUGCUUAAUUGUUUAUUUUGUUUUGUUUUGUUUUUUUGAAUAUCUGAAACAUUCCCCAAGUCGCCAACCUAAGUGAGCAGCAAAUACUUUUCUGAUGAAAAAGAAAAAGCAAAGAUUGAGACAGAUGUAACGGGAGUAGAAUUGGGAUGGCCAAUAGGGUGGUUAGUCUUAUAACAGGCUGUGAUGAGAAGCAAUAGGUCAUAGCAUGGAGGCCACCCGAGGCCAGGCAGGUCCCAGGCAGGCUCCCCACAGCAGGACACUGAUCAGGCUUCCUAGGCAAAGACAGGUGGGUGAUUCUCUAGAUUCUGAGAGGAAACAAUGUGAAAGAUAGCCUUCAGCUGGCAGAAAAGGUCAAGCAGAAGUGCACAGGUUAGACCUAGUGUACGAAAGCACAGGUUAGACCUAGUGCACAGGAGCAUAGACAAGAGGUCUUGAUAUAAUUUCUGAGGUGCUGAAGUACUUGGUCAGAAAGGCUUGGGGACUUAAGAUAGUCAAGGAAAAAGACCAAAUUCUUGGUGCACAUGGGGUGCUAGAACUAGAACCUCAGGAUAGAAAGGUUAUUUUUACUGAUUCCCCGUUUCUAAAAUUUUUUUUUUAUUCAAGCUGGCAGAAAACCUCAGGACUAUUUGUUUAUGUCCAAGUAUCGACAACAUAGUAGUCAGACGUACAUGAUAUUGGAUGAGUAAGUGAACUGAAGAAAACAUGGUCUUAGAGAUUGGCAGGACUCUGAAACCUUUAACUGAACAGUUUAGUUGUGCUCGAAGGCCUUGAGACAAUGGCAAACCUCCUAGAUCACCAGGAGAAGACAUACUUGCUAACUGCUUUCAGUAUUGGGUGUUCUGGGUCUGUGGUGGUCCCCUGUGAACCAGGACUGAGUUUAUUUCCACUUGAUUGAGCUGCUAUGAGAUCCCACUAUGCACCAGCGACUUCAUCAUAGACCAUGAUGAAUUGGGGCUUGUUGCCUGCAGUAUGUGAUGUUGCCGCAGCUCAGGCAGAGGCCGCAGCAGGAGCUCAACCAGUCCGCAGAAACUAUGGCGACGCUCUUUCAACAGCAAAGCCUCAAGAAGUGCCAGAUCCCUUCUGCUCCUUGGCUCACGUCUCCGUUUCCUAUAACCUACAACCAGGUGAGUCAGGGGUAAGGCAAAGGGAUUCUUCCAGCUCUGAGUAUGUAUGGGCUGCUCAUAUACUUCUAACUGCAGCUUGAUCUACCUACCACAAUCUCCCCUGGCCCCUGAAGCCAUCAACUGUCAAUAGCUCUGCAGUUAGGAGUGAGGAUAAUAAGCCCCUCCCUCUUCCUCAUCUUUUUUUUCUUCCAGAGACAGGGUUUCUCUGUGUAGCCCUGGCUGUCCUGGAACUCACUUUGUAGACCAGGCUGGCCUCGAAUUCAGAAAUCUGCCUGCCUCUGCCUCCUGAGUGCUGGGAUUAAAGGCGUGCACCACCACUGCCCGGCCCCUUCUUCCUCAUUUUUUAAAUAAUUUAUUUAAUUUUAUUUUAUGUAUAUUGGUCUGGAGGCAUCAGAUUGCCUGGAACUGGAGUUACAGACAGUUGUUUGCUGCCAUGUGGUUGUUGGGAAUUGAACCUAGGGCCUCUGGAAGAGCAGCCAGAGCUCUUAUACUGCUAAGCCAUCUCUCCAGCCCCCUCCUCCUCAUUUUUUAAAACAAGAAAAUUGAGGCUGAAAGAAAUUAUGCAACUGCUCAAUUUUAGAGGUUCAGUAGAUGAUGAGAUUAAGUUUCAAUCUUGAUCUGAUCCCAAAGCCCAUGCUGAGGCUCACUGCUGGAGUGAGCACAGAGCCCUGUACUAUUAAGGUUUGGAAACUAAGGCUGCAGCUCCUGCCCAGCCCUGGCACUCAACUGCCUCUCCACUGGUUUGCCCAUUAGAAGCCAUGAAGAUGCUCUUUCAACAGCAAAGCCUCACAGUGCCAGAUCCUUUCUGCUCCUUGGCUCACUUCUCCCCCGUUUCCUAUAACCUACAACCAGGUGGGUCUGGAGUAAGGCAAAGGGAUCUUUCAUCCCUGAGUUUUAAUGUAUAUUCUUCAGUUAAACAAGAGCAAUCAUUUGUGAACAGGCCCAGAUGUAAACAGUCCCCAAAUCAGGAAUUCCAGCUCAGAGGCACAGAAGAAUACAGCUUUGGGGGAGAUUUAGUAAUAGUAAAAUUAAAAUUGUAACUGAAGCAUAAUGAAGAAUGUGGUACAAAGAGGCACUGAAAAGGAAAAAAAUAAAAAAUAAAAACUCUAACACAGAUUAGCCCCUAUGGAACGGUGAUUGGUUGAGGGCAACAGUAAACAAUGUGCAGACAUGCAACUUAAUUAUCCCGCAAUUCUUCACAUUCUACCCAAAGCCACACUGGAAGGCUUUGAUGUUGGCAGCAGAGGUGACAGCAGCCUCCCUCUCCCCUGCUCCUGGAGGGAGAUCAUGGCUAAGACACAUGAGCAGCUGAGGCAGAGGGCAACAUCAGGAUUGAUCUGUGGAGCAACCAAGAAGUGACCAACGUGCUGAAAAGAGGCAUCACUCAGGGGCUACAGAACCAGCGGGUUGUUGAACAAAAAGGAGCUGUGGACCAGAGGUACAAGGAUGAGGACACUUCAGAGAAGGCUCAGAUCACCAUCAGUCCACCAAACCAGGAGAAUAGCCUGCUUGGGGAGCCUAGACCUUUUACACCCAGUACUGACUUAGUAUCAGGGUACCUUUAUGGAGAAACUAGGGAGGGGUUCCUUCCCUCACACAAGCACAAAGAGUACUUCCCGGUGGAAAAUGCCUCCCUUGCUUCCAUUUGGACCCUUCAGGGGCCUAUACAGGACUUCACAAGGUGGGAGCACAAGGUGGGAACACCACUGAGUAACAAGUCUCUCUUAGGAAUGUUCCUGACAGAGUUCAGAAGACACAGACUUAGUGGAUGCUAGAUCCAGAAGUCUAGUCCCCAAAGCCUCCAGGGACUGCUUUUGUGUCUUCUGAAUCUCCUCAGCCACGCUAAGAAAGUGACAUCCCAGCCACCCACAGUUCCUUCUGCUAAGGGCUCUUCUCUAUUUGUUAUGAGUAGGUAAUCCUAGGAACAGAGAGAUUGUCAGGGUUGGCUGGCUGGGUAGUUGGUGAAGUGCAGUCCCGCCAAGGAAUGGGAACAACACACAAUGAUCUCCUGAGGUCCCAGGCAGACUCAGGAGUUCCUGAAGCAAGAACUGUGAAUCAUGAGGUCUCUACCUCCAACUCCACUUAGAUCCUCCCUAGUUUCUUCCACUUGUCUGAUUCCUGAGAGAGCCUCCUGGAAGGACCCUGACGUGCAGCAGAAAAUGAGUCGAGUUGUUUUUUUUUAAUUAGAAAAUGAACUAGGAGAUCUGAGCCUCCUUCUCAAGAUCUGUCUAGAUCCCCACCCCCACCCCCACCCCCUCGCCUUCCAUCUUUUUGCACAGGCCAAGCUGCCCCAGUGACUCAACUAGCUUUUGUUUGCAUUUCCUUUACUCCUGAUUACAGAUUCUAAUAGAGGAAGGUCACCAAGCCCUCAGAUGGGAUACUGGUGGGCCAGCAGACCUGGGGCUCAACAGGAAGCAUUAUUUCUAUUUGUGGGUAAGGGAGAUUGAACAGGGACCAUCUAAGUAUUGAUGGUAGUUAUUUGGAAUACUGAGCUGGAAAGAUUGGCAGCUUCCAGACAAGAACAGAACCUGUCCCUGAAUCCCACUUUGCAGUUUUAAUCUACCAGCCCUUCCUCACUAGUAUACCUUACUGUAUAGAUAGAAUUUAUAUCCUUCAUAUCACCUUCUGAAAAUGUCUGGUGUAUUUUUAAGCUACCAUGAAGUGUUCCAUAGACUCCUCACUGCCAAAAUAAUCUAAGAUGUCUAGGAACAGGGCAUUGCUUCUUAAUGUUGCCCCAGGACCUAGCAUGUGGCAAGCUCUCCAUAAGCGUUGGCUAAAUGAAAUUAAUUGCCAGAGCCAAAAGCAAGGACUUAAGACCAGUGUCAUUCCAGUCAGACUUAGCCUGGAAGUAGGCUAAACUUAUGUCAAGUUCCUGAUCUCAAAGUAUGAGAGCAGCUUGUGCUCAGGGCCAAUGAGGUGGUUUAUAGGAUCAAGAAAAUACUCCAGGAGUCUGGAAGGUAGUAGAUAUAUGGUUAGAACCCUCACUAAGAGCCCAUGGCAUAUAUCUCUUAUAUUACACAAGCUAGGGUUUUAUUAAGUCCUCUUACUGACUAUAGAACAUGGGAUAGUCACUUUCCUUCCUGGGAAGAUACUAACUCUUAAAAAAAAAAAAAAAAACAAAAAAAAAACUGUGUUGCUUACUGUUACAACUUCAGUAUUCAGAUGUCGACAUGGUCUGUCUUCAACCAGUGUUGAUGAGACAUUUUGUUUUGCCCUAUGGCAGUGGGGAUGGAAUUCAAAAUCCUGUGCUUGUUAGGCAAGUCCUCUAUUACUAAGCUAUACCCUCAGCUUCUAAGGUGACAUUCUGUUUUGCUUCUUCUCAGGAUCCUUUGACUUCUUACUCUAAACUACCUAUGGCUUUGCCAUAGGCAGGACAGGUUCUGAUUUCCCUCAGGCUCGAGAGGUCUUAUCUGUUAUAUCUAGGAGUUCCCUGGGACCUCAGAUUUUUAAAUUUAACUGAUAUUUUCCUGAUAUAAGGGAAAGCAAUGUAUGGAUAGGAUUUAGGUUUGGAGCAGGAGAAAAAGGGAGCUUACCAGAGACAAGAGAGGACUCUGUAUCCCAACUAUUAAGAGAUGCAAAGUCAGCAAUUGUGAUCCUUUACUUUGUACAGGAUAUAGAUUUCCAAGAAGCUUCAGGAAGAACUGACUGCUCUCUGCACCUCACAAACAUUGACAACUGAGGCUCAGAAAGGGGGAAGUCACUUAAAGUCAUCCAGCUAUUUAUGUAGUGACCAUGCUUUAAAACUAAGGCCCCUUGCUCUCAGAGCUUGUCCCUUGGUGUUUCCAGAUUGGUCCCUUACAGACACCCAAAUCUAUAGAUGGUUGAGUUCCUUAUAUAAAUAAAAUGGCUCAUAGUAACUGUAUAUAACUUGAACAUGUCCCCAUACUCUUAAAAUCUCUAGAUUGUUUCUAAUGGUUACCGUAACAUAAAUGUUGUGUAAAAUAGUUGAUCAAUUUUUUUUUAAGGAAUGAAGAAGUCUGCACACAUUCAGUACAAUUGCAAUUUUUUUUUCUUGAGUAUUUUUCAUCCUUGCCAAGUUAAAUCAAUAUGGAGACCCUGCAGAUACUGGGAGAAGUCAGUGUUUCCUUUCACUCUUCUCCUCUCCCCCAAUUGCUCUUGCUGGCUGCCUUGGGCCUGCAGAAGAGCUCUGCUUACAGAAGGGAGCUGCUGAAGUGGUGAUUUCACAUCUCUGGAGGUAAGACUUUUCAAAACAGUGUUGGCAGAAUGGCUAUCAGAGCACGGUUUGAGGUUCGGGAAGAUGGGAAACCAUUGGUAACUUUUCCUAUUGGAAUCUAACUUUAAAGAUAUAUAUUAUCCCUAAAGGCUUUUUGGAAAUUGCCCAGUGCUAAAUCUUUGCUGAGGACAUUAGAUGUGUGCACCUCCUCUCUCCUGUUAUCUAAUGGCACAAGUGCUGUACACCUCCAUUUGUUUGUUUCCUUGGUGUGUGCGCCUUUCAGUCCCUGAAAGCUGGAGGGAGCCUGGUGUUACAUAAGCAGCUCAUCAGAAUUAACAUCCAGACAGACAUUGCACAGAAGAUGUCUUGGUCUUCCCACCCAAGAGGAACAUUUAUCUCAGCCCCACUUCUUCCCAGGGUACACAGAGAGACUUUGGUCCCAGUGACUGCCCCCUUAUUACCACGAAGCUCCUGGAGCCAUGGAAUUAAUUCAUUCACCCUGAAGCCUAUUUUGGUAGCUUGCUGCCUAGUAAGGAAAAGAAACUGAGGAUGUUUUGCUGGGGCCUCUAGGGCUCCCCUUGAGUACCCAGGACUUCCUGACAGCACUUAUUUAUUCAUAGAAAACCUACUGUGUGCCAGCCUCUAUGCUGGAUGCCCAGGAUAUAAAAACGAGGAAGCCAAGAUCCCUUCCUUGAAAAAUCCAAAGUAGAGGUGACAGACAUGCAAAGAAAUAGAAGCAAAUCAGCAGGACUCUAACUGAGCAAUAUAUGUAUUCUGGGAACUAAGGAGAAAGAAACUACUGGCUGUGUCUAGGGAAGGGAGGGAGUGGCAUUUGCAUAGAACCUGGAAGGAUCUGUCCGAAAGAAGACAGUAGAGGAAUCAGUAAACUGGGAUAGAGCCAAGUCAUUGCUCCGGGGUACAAAAGUACUCAGACUGGCUCUCAUUCAGCCAGACUCCUUCCUCCUUUUAUUCUGAGCAGGAAAUACAGGUGUCCCUGAGGCCUGCUUAUUCUUUUUGAUCCUCAGUUUCCUCUUUUCCAUAAUAGACACUAUAACAACCUGGACAUGAUAGGAGAACAAACUGAGAUGUGUGUGGCUGCAUGAAAAGCUGCCUAGCUUGAUAAGCAUGGAAGGGUGUGGCUGUAACUCUCUCCCAUCACUGGCUAGCAAGCAUCCAAGGACCUAGCCUCGUUGCCUGAGGCAUAAAGACACUGGUGGCUCUACUUAAAUCCUUCUAACCUGAACAGAACUGGAAGGGCCUUUUUCCUUUUUGUUUCUGAACUAAAAACUCCUUUGGAAGAAGCAGCCCUCUGGCCUGGGAGCUCCUAGGGCAGUACUAGAGGUCUCAGCAUAGGUCACACUCUGGGGACAGGAGUCAGAGCUGAUAGGAGACCUGCUCAGCUCAGUGCACAGGAGUCCUUAUGACUUGGAUGAAAAAUAUCACCCUAAAAUCUUUGUCUACUGAAGGUUGCUCCUCAGCUAGUAGAUCUAAUCUUUAAGAGGUAGAUUGGACUGUGGAAACUAUGACCUAAUCAAUAGAUUAAGACAUUGAAAACUCUAUUAUUUGUUAAUGUUAUAGAAAUAUGAUGAAGGUGGGGAUUGGUUAGAAGAAAUAAUUCACAAAGACUAUGUACUGGGGGACUAUACUACAUUCCAAAUCUCUUCUUUGUUCUACUUAUUUUUAAAGAAAAAAAAUUGUUCCAUUUCUUUUUUGGUGGGGAAGGAACAGCCUGUGUACAUUCCAUGCAUGCCUGUUGAGGUCAUGUAUGUACUGUAUGUGUUGGUACUUCUUUUUAUCAUGUAGGUCCAGAUAUUGAACUCAAGUUGCCAGGCAUGGUGGCAAAUGCCUUACUCACUGAACCACCUUACCAGCCUUGUUUGCUUUCUCAACACCAUGAUAUGAGCAGCUCUUCUGUUAUACCCUCUCCUCCAUAAUGUUUUGCCUUACUACCACGGAGCCAGCCAACCAGAAACUGAAAUCUCUGAAACCGUGAGGCAAAACAAAUCUUUCCUCACUUCAAGUUAUCUUUUUUAGAUAUUCAUCAUAGCGGUGAAAAAAAAAUCUAACUAAUCCAGAAGAGCUUUGAAAGAUUCUCCAGAGUAACAACAGCCUAAGAUCCCUUGAAAGAGUGAGCAAAUGUUCACAUGCAAUGGGCCUGCAGGCAAAAAUGCUUAGCUGCUUUUGAUGACAGUAAUCAAGGUACUGGCAUCUGCUGGAAUUUGAGCCUAGAGUCCCCCAACCUGCAGACUGCAUGGACUUCUCAAUGAGUCGCACCCUGCCCUGGCUUCACACAUUUGCCCAGUUGUCUCCCAAGCCUGUCUCUGCUCCAUCUGGGAAUCUUACAGAUUAAUACACUUGUCUCUACCGCAGGUCAUUAUGGUCUCUUACAACAGCUGCCUACAAGAUCUCCUGACCUCUGUGCUUGCCUCUCUCCGGCCGGCUGUACAUAUUGAAAUCAUAGCAAUCUUUCCAAAACACAAAGCUGGCCAAUUAAUCCUCUGCUUAGAGCUCUUCAGUGUCCCACAACCAGUCUCUAGGGAAAUAUGGCCUUCAAGACCCUUCUUGAUGUUCAGCCCCAUCUCUCACUACAGCCUUUGUCCCACAAUGUGCCUGCCAGAUGGAAAAUUUUACAUUUCUCCUCACCUGCCAGGCUAUCUCUGGCAACCAGCACUUGAUUCAUGAAGUUCCCUCUGCCUGAAGUUAUUCCACCCACCCCCUGCCACUUGGCUAACUCCUCAUCCUCCAGGUAUCAGACCAGACCACCCUGUCUCUAGAAGCCUCCUUGGAUCCCCUGAGAUUUCCUGAGGUGCCCUGCUGGCUGCUCACAGAGUGUCUGCCCGUGCCUGAUUACAGCACUUACCAUAUUGUACCAGUGGUGCCUGCUUACCAUUCAUCUGUCUCUAUUUUUCCAAAAGGACAUAGCCCCGCUGAAUGAAGCUCAAACAGGGUAGGCAAUAAGCAUAUGCUGAACGGAUGACAAAAGGACAAAUGAAUAGACAACGAGCAAGUGAAGGAAUGAGUAAAUGAAUGAUGGAGUCGGGACCUAUGAACUGAAAAGACUGGAUUCUGCAAAAACGCAGAGCAGAAGAGCAUCUCCACUGCGGAAUCUGGGCACACAAUACAAGAGGUAGAGAGGCAGAUAGAGGGAUGAACAAGUUUGGGGGCUAAUCCAGCAUGCAGAGUGCAACAGAGGAAGGGGUGGGGCUGGCAGAAAGGCAAGGGGUGUCUGCAUGGAGAGCCCCUUGUCAGCUUCCUCCUUACUGCAUCUGCAUAAAUCGCAGCUACCUGACAAUAGUCUCAUCAAUAAGGGGACUUGUCCUAUUUCAUAAACUUUCUUUAAAUUAAAAUCCAGGCGACGCACACACAUACACAUAUACCCCACAGACAUCUUCUUUGCUGAAAAGUUGCUCCCUAUAAAAUAAAAGAAGCUGUUUAAAUGUCUUCCUUCCAAGCUAGCCCCACAGAGCUGGAGCUGAGAAUACAUUAGCCUUUAAUGAAGUGAGACUCUCAUCUUGCAGGAGACACCUCAUUUAGCGCAAUUGUUUCAGAGCCAUUACAGAAAGACAAUUACAAGGAAGCGGGGAGAGUAAUUGGAAAUGCUGGCAGGAGUUGGGCGAAAUGAUAAUAAAUAAAAAUAUUCAACCUAAUAAGCUUCCAGGAGGGGGUGGGAUGAAGAAAAUCAACAUAAUUAGAACUGAACCUUAGCAAGGAAAAACAGACAGCAGGGUGGCAAGUGCUCAACUUGUACAGGAAGGAAGAAGUCAUAUGUCACCAACCAUCUUUUGAAGGGCUACAGGCCACUUGGCCUUCUGGAAAUCUGUUGAGGGACAGGGAAGGUGCCUACAGUCCAAAGUCCACUGAGGAGUCAGCGGGUCCUACUCCUAGACCCAGAAAUCUGGGUGCACAAAAAGCACAGGCCCAGCCCGGCACAGCUAAGGGACUUCAUCCUACUGAGAAGAAGCAAAGAGAGCCCAGGCCAGAGCCUGACUCUGCCGCUACUGGUUUUUUGGUGGCACAACCACGGACAGUUGAGCUGGUGGCUUUCUGGAACUGAGAUUUCUCAUUUUGGCAUGCACCUGACCCUUCUUAUUGUUCUGUGUUCCUCACAGGUUCACAUCUGAUGGGUCUCCUUUUGAGUUCUGAAAUUUCAACCCAGAAGUUAAGCUUGGCAACCCAGCCUAUGCACUGUUAACAUAAAAUCAUUUCCUAAGCCCCCUCUCCUUCUUGCAGGGAGUACAGAUUCCCCAGCCUGUUGGAAUGGAGGGGUGCUUUGCCCAGUGGAGCCCAAUGUAGCUCCUACCGAAUGUUGGCAUUUGUCAGAGGAGGCUGGCUCAUCCUAAAAGACGGAGUUUUAGAACAUUUGCAGAGGAAAUGGGCAGCCUGGGACUGGUCAAACAGGCCAUAACAUCUGGCUUCCAGCCUUAAGACUAAAUGUACCUCUGGGUUCAUCAGAACCUUGGAGCAGAAAACUCAAAGCCAUGGAUGAGCAAAGAACCUGGAUGCCUCCCUCUUAGAUAAACCAGGAGUAAUGGUCUUGUUUAUUCUUCCACUAGUUAAACAGGCAUCAUCAAACAGAACGUGCCAGGAGCCAUGCCAAGUGGAGCAAGGGCUAGCAGCAUCAGCCACCAGCCACGGCCCUCUGUGUGAAAGGGCGAGCAUAAGCUACCUGGGAUGCAGCUACCCUGGCCUGUGCCAGGAGUUUCAGACCAGGGGCUAGGAAGGGAAUGUUGGACUUUUUCCAGAAGAAGCUAAAACUCUCUGGAAGAGAUGACAACAGGACUAGGAAGAUGAGUGAGCUUUGGCCAUGUGGAAAAAGAAAGACUUCUGGUCAAGGUAAAGGGAUACUAUCAUCUGGGGGGCCAAUCAUCUGUGCCAAUCCUGCAUCCAUCUGGAGAUCCCAUAUGCUGAGGCUGGGCAGGAGAGAGCAAAUAAGAAGAAACAAAAGAAGCUAGGAAAGACUCUUUGAACCAACACUCUUGAAAACUAGAGAUCCAGGCUGCUACUCUGACAGCCUCUCAUCCAGCUCGCCAGCAGAGGCCUCAGGAGUUGCUCAACAAAACAAAUAUGUAUCAGGUGCCAAUGUAAUGAUGGGGGCGCAUUUUUUUUUUUUUUUUGAGACAGGGUUUCUCUGUGCAGCCCUGGCUGUACUGGAACUCAUUCUGUGGACCAGGCUGUCCUCGAACUCAGAAAUCUGCCUGCCUCUGCCUCCCAAGUGCUGGGAUUAAAGGCAUGCACCACCACGCCCAGCCUAGGUGGGGGUGCUUUUUAAUAAAAUGUGAGUAUUCUCAUCUAAUGGAGAGGAGCUAGGCACUGAAGUCCAUUGUCAUGACAUUAUAGAAGGAUGCCCAGUGUAAUCUGGGCCCUUGUCACAGAUAACCUGAGUUUUCUCCAGUCAGUGGAAGGAAUGGAGAAAAUUGUAGGCAAAGAACAGUCUCAAAAAGACACAGAAGCCUAAAACCCCCUGGGAUCUGGCAACUGCAAAUAAAGUGUAGACUGUUGGCUCCUGGGAGGAGAUAAGAGGAGGCUGUGGCCAUUCUUAGGGUGACCCACUGGACCCAGAGCUGAGUACUACACACAGACAAUGCUUAGUAAAUGUGUUUUGAUUGGAGACUGCCAUUUCUUGAAGUAAGAGCUGGGAUAAGCAAUUCAUUCUUAUAAAGCCCCAGGCACUGCCACAUGCUGAGGUGUAUUUAUUAAAGCCUUUGAUGAGAAAGAGGAGAAAGAAGAGGAGGGGGUGGGGAGCUGAAGCAGGGUGGUCACCCUCACUUCCACAUGCUCCCCGGUUUCCAGAACUGAGGCCCCAGGUCUAAGAAGGGAAGGUGGAAACUUCUUAAACCUCUAACUGGAGCCAAGCAUACCUCUCAGAGGUUGUCAUUACUCUUCAAUGGGAAACCAAGGCUAAAUAAGACAACGUUCUAUCUGAUGAGAAGGGAAAGCGAGGAGCAGGAUUUUAGUCUGGAACUUGUUGCUCCUGGAUUGAGCCCUCUCUCCCUGUGAUGACAGGGCAACCUGAGGAAGGUAUGGUUGUUAUAAGUAAGUAACUAGCCUAGACUGGGGUACUCUCUUGGCUGUUCUACUAGCAGCAAAGGUCUGUAAAUGAAACCUCAGAUCUUUCCCUACAGGGGCCAGGAUUGUCCUGUUAGCUGUUCCCUGAGCCCUGGAAGUCUGCAUGUAAAGGUUGGCUAAGAAGGAUUCUUAUCUACAGGAACUCUAAGGAGUUCCUUGUCCAGCCUGAAAUUACAUUUUGCAUCUCGGAAAGGCACACUCACCCUGAUCCCUGCUCUCCCACACCAGACCUGGUACCGUGCCCUUCUUGGGACCUAGGAGCCCAGAGUUACAGUUUGGUCCCUUUCUUAUGCAUCCAGUCAAGAGACUGCCUCUUUUAUCCUGUUUCCCCACUCUAUGCUGAGAAAUUCAGAGGCCUCUAAGAUCUCUUAAGAGACCCUUAAGCCUUUCUCUCUCCCUUCUCUUCCCCAACACAGAGGGUUUCCUCUGGUAAUCUGGCUACAAGCCAAUGUUGCCCCUCACAGGUCCUUGGAAAGUCCUAAGUUAAGCCAUCCUAAGGGCAGACAAGGCUUCAAUACAACCAGGCUAGGUAGGUAGGUCAAGGAGUUAAGAGAAACAGCAAGUGUCUCAAUUCAAAGCCAAUUUCAACAGCUUCAUUUGAGAAAGACAUCCUGAGAACACUGGAAAACAGCUUUUGGAGUCAUGGAAACUUUCAGGCAUUAGUGUUUGCUCCACUUUCUAGCCUUGGUCCCAUGGGCCUAUGGCUGCCCUUACUGAGGCUGGUCUCAGGGUUGGAGACACUGAGCUUUUAUAGUACAGGUAAUCUUGCCACUCGUCCUAGACUAGAAUGAUAAGAGAACUCCUAAAGCACCUGAUAUAUUUAAUAUCGAUGGGAAUUUCAUGGUGUAAGGCUUGAGUUGAAGCUGCCCACGCCCAGUAGUCACCAAGGCUAGACAGUUUCAUGAUAGGAAACUCCACCUUCCAACAGGGACGGGCUCCCCAGGACAGACCCAGCUGGGUGGCCAUUUAUAGAUUUCUUUUAUUCAUAUGAAUGUUUUCCCUGUGUGUGUACCACAUGUAUGCCCGGUGCCUGAGGUGGGUGCUGGGAACCAAAUCUGGUCCUUUACAAGAAUAAGUGCUCUGAGCCAACUCUCGGUCCCACUUUAGUUUCUUUCUUGCUUGCUUUCUUGCUCGCUCUCUCUUUUUCCUCCUCCUCCUCCUCCUCCUCCUCCUCCUCCUCCUUCUUAAAAUUAGGUUCAAAAUUAAAAGUGACAGCAGUGAGCCCUCCCUAUUUCUGCAGACAUUUGGCCUACGGUAGGGACCAGGGGCAUUAAUUAAACUCACCCCGUCUCCCCGAGGAGACCUGGCCAUCAUUACAGAAGACAGUAUCUCCUGCACCAGAGAGUGGCUUGGCUGCUCUCAAGUCCCAGCCCGGAGAGGGAUCUGCCUUGUGGGCCAACCUCAGAGGCACUAGGCCCUCCCCCUGACACCUCCCCCAGCCCAGCCUAAUUCAGUCCUAAGUAUUCCUAAGGUGCCUUCCAAUUUCCUGCUGUAAUAAAUGGCACAGAAUGCAAAUGGAGGUGGAUGUGGGACACAGAUGUUUGCACUAAUUUAAUUGAGGGAACACCUUGGAUUAAACACUUUGCAAAACACUCACAAAUAGGUUCAGUGCAUUUGGUAAUGAAAAGCAUCCCAGCCCCCUGGCACUUUGGAGAGGCUGCCUGGGGCUGGGAGUAGGAGGGUCUGGGGGAGAGGCCCAGAACACGGGGAAGACAGGAAGCCUUGAACCAAGGAGAAGAAGGCAAGGGAACCAGGUCUCUGGGAGAGCUACCAGCAGAUCCUCCCCCAGCUGGGACCCACCCUGCUAAGAGAAUCUAGAAGAGUCAGGGGUAAGGAGGUAGCAUCUGCCUUCGUAGGUGGGCACCUGCUUACCUGUAGGGGUCAGCAGUAGACAGAUGCUCCCCAUCCACAGAACCCACCUACAAGGUGGAGGCUUCUACCCAGCUAGCUGAGUUGCAUUCACCUGAAUGGGAUUGGACUUAUUGUACACUGUGGCAUGGGAGGCAGGCAUUAACAGAUGGUGAAAAGUGCUUAGGGAGGUAGACAAACCUUGGGAGCCAGAGAAGGGCCAGCAGUUUGGCAUGAGUGGGUCUGAAGACCAGUGGAGAGCAAGGGAGAUCAUUCAAUAACGUGCUUUGCCAUACAUGCAUGAGGACCUGAAUUCUUGAGGACCCAAGUCGGAAUCCCAAGAACACACAAGAAAGCUGGUGGUUGCAUGUGCACUGGAGAAAUGAAGACAGGAGGAUUCCCUAGAGCUUGAUAAGCAGCCAGUGUAACCAAUCCGUGAGCUCCAGCCUCAGUGAGAGCCCUUGUCCUAAGGAAUAAAGUGGAGAAGCACUUGAGGAAGCUAAUAUCAACUUCUAUCUUCUAUGCAUGUAUGGAUACAUGUGUGUGUGUGCUCACAUGACUCACAAACACACACAAAGACCAAUGGGGGAAAUAGGAAGACAGAACGUUGCUAGCAAAAGCAGCACUGGAUAGAAGCCUCGGCAAUGGCAGAGACUCUGAAAACAAAUAUAAAAAUGGCCUUGAACUCCUUUAGGGGACAGGUGCACAGUGAAGAUGGGCUGCUUUCCCCAGGCUCCUUGCGCCUUAGUUACAAUCUGCUGCAGGGGAGACAGGAGAGGACUCUGGGCUGCUUCAGUUCAGAAAGGUUCCAGCAGUCAGGUAAAUCUGCCAUUCGUUUCUAAUCCUUGCUCUGGGAGUCUCAGAGUUCAAACCAGGCUUGGAUGAUUUUAUACUCCUGAAAACAGAAUCCCUAAUUUUCAAACACAAUGAUCAGUUCAAGUGUAAUAACCAUUCAAAUAAUAACCUCUUAUACUUCUGCAGUGUGCUAUAGUUUAUAAAACACUUCUGCAUGUCUCUUAGAUUCCUUCACACAGCCUUCCAGGAAGACAGAAUGGGGGAGUUUGAUUAUUCUUGCUCUCUGGGUGAGAGAAUCAAAUCACAAGAGCCCAGCUAAGAACACAACAGAAGCAGAAUUCAAACCCAGCCUACCUGACACCUAAGUGCACACAGGUUCAAACCUUCACGGCACACUUGCCCAGUACCUAGAAGCACGACAGACUCAGACCUCAGCACAGUCAGCAAGAUCAGCUAAAUGCAAACCUAAAUGAAGAAACAGCCUCCCAGAGAUAUCUCCGGAGUAAAAGACAACAAGCACCAAAACCCAGGAACUAAAAACAACACACACACACACACACACACUCGAAUUCACAUUCAUUCACAUUUAUCACACAUGAAGAUCUGAGCCAGUUUUCCCAGGCUAACCCUACCUAACACAGAACGGACUUUUACUCCCAAUAGCACAACUCCUGGUUGGGCAAUAGUCCAAAACAGUCCAAAGCAGCAGGCAAGAAUACACCUUGGGUCCUGUGCUCCCAGAAGCACCAGCACACAUAGACAGAGCCCAUAGGCAUAGUGGGUGGCCUGACACAUGUCUGAGCUCUAGUGUUCUCAGGAAUAGCAGAGUUCACACUUCCAAGGCGGUGUGCAACCGGUUAGGUAGGGUGGCUGAGUGAGUGGGUGAUGGGCAGCUGGAGUGAAGAGGUGAGGAGGAGAAAGCACAGGAGUCUUCACAGGUAGCUCACAGGUAGCUCCUGCUGGCGUCACCAUGAGCCUGUCCCUUUAUGAGGACAGAGGAGCUGCAGGUUGCUCAGCUGAAGUAAUCCGCACAUUACAGGGCUCAUGUGAACAUGUGUGAGAUGGGGCAUUGGCACCUCCAGCACAAGGGCCAGUGCUUAGAAGAGGACACAGAAGAAAGCACCAUUUUGACCUGCGACAUACAGGUGCUGAGGGAUAGGGGACCGCCAUCAUCCCUUUCCUGCUGCUGGGGUUUACUCAUCCAUCACAUCUCUCCUCUCAAUCGACUCACCUUGCUGUUCCAGCCAGGCAUGGCUGUAGAAGCUAGGGUUAAGGGAGCAUGAGAUUUAGUGCCUAAUGUGAGUAAUGUGUACGAGGGCCUGCAGUUACCUCCAGGGAAAGACAGGAGAGCAGACAGCAGAGGGGUGGAGGCAGGCAAGUCCCAGAGGAGGCAGCCACAGGAACUGCUACAGCAGGAGCAGGAGAAGCGUUGGAUAAAGAAAUUCUACACAGAGAAGCAGCAAGUGCCAAAGCAGCCAGGCAGAAGCACAGAGCACUGAGGGGACCUGCAUGGGUCUGCUACCUGGGACCUUGUGGCAGGAAUAUGCCACCCCUGAGGUGGAUGGUAGCGUGGUGGAGAGAAGGUGGGAGAAGAAGCUGGAAAAGCAGAUCAUGGUCACCCAGGCCAAAGCAGCUGGCUCUCAGGCAGUUAUCUGUGAAAAGCCUAGAAGUGGUGCAGCACAGAAGUCACAUGGUCACCAACAGUAGCCCUGCCUUAUCCACAGGAAAGAGAUCCCAAGACUCUCAGUAGCAAUCUGAAGCCAUGGAAGGUGCUAAAUACUCUCAUUCUCUCUCAUAUGUGUGUGUUCUACACAUACAUAUAUGGUAGCGUGUAAUUCAUAAAUCAAGCAAGAGAUUAACAAUAGCUAAGCCGGACCGUGGUGGCGCACACCUUAAAUCCCAGCACUUGGGAGGCAGAGGCAGGCAGAUUUCUGAGUUCGAGGCCAGCCUGGACUACAGAGUGAGUUCCAGGACAGCCAGGUCUACACAGAGAAACCCUGUCUGGAAAACAACAACAACAACAACAAAACAAAACAAACAAACACACAAAAAAAACAAAUAGCUAAAUAAAAAAGAAUAAUGAUUUUAUUUCAGAUUAUUACCACAUAUUACAAUAGAAAAAUCAUUCAAAACUUAUGGGAAAUUUCUGGGUAAUAAUUUUUGGCUAGUGGUCAACAGCAGAGAGCUGAAACUAGGAAACCCAAGGAACAGAUACGGGAGGCUGCUCUAUACACAGUACUAAUUGUGCUCCAGCUAUGGGGGCACAGUGCUGGCCUCCACUACAUAGAGUCUCUCCUUGACCAGCUCUGAUGAUAAAUGAGUCUGACAAGGAGGUCUCCUCUUCGAUUCAUAUAAUUAAUUAUCCCUUGAGAAGUGGCCAAUUUAGGAGCGCGUUUUUCUUUUUGAAGAGACAGACUGGCUGACUAACUGAAGGCCACAGGAGAGGUUCCACAACCAGCCAAGUCCAGCACCUGCAGGGAAGAGCACUUGGAAGUCCUUGGAAACCUCCUUCUGAGGUUCAAAGUUCUCCCUGAGGAUCUGGGAAGAAGUUGAGAGUGGCUGUUGUAUUAGUGAAGAUGUCAGAUGAAGUGGAGAAGAGAAGAGCAGUUUUGCUGGGUGCCCGGAUUUAUGAGCUACUGCAUUUCUGUGGGUAAGAGUAGGGCGGGAGUUUCCAAACCCUGUUCAAAGCUGCUCCCAGCAGGACAGGGUCUCCUUCCCUUCUCGUCUUUCCCUUCCCCUCCCCCAACUCUCUUUCCUAAACCCCUCUCCAAAAAGGUUUAUGGAGAAGACUCCAAAUAGCCCCCUCUCCUGCAGGCAUAGUCACACCAACUGAAAGGAGAUUUAAUUAGCAAAAUCUCGUUAGGCAAACGAAAUUAUCCGUAAGACAAUACUCUUCUGGACAGGGGGUAUGAUUAAACAAAGCCAUUAAUUGAGAGAGUCGCUUUGGCAGCUCUCGAGUUGCGUUCAUCUCCGGGCAGGCUCCACUCUGCCUCCGUGGACCAGAGGGGAACAGAGGCAGGCCUCCUCCCCUGCCUGCCUAGCCCAUCUCCUCUCCACUUCAUCUCUGCUCUUCCCAGGGCCCCUCCGGUUAGGGCUGCAGACCUCGGCAUCUCAUCAGCGGCCUCUCUGCUGCCAGAUUCCCGCUAAAGUGCCUUGAUUGCAUAAUGUCUAUUUGCAUAAUGUAAAUUGCAAUCUCCUAGCUUGGGAGGCAGGAAUCACAGAACAGCCAUUAUUUUUUACCACUCCACAAAAAUUCUACAUUUAGAAAGCAGAUUUGCAGCUCAGAAAGCCAUAUAAAUCUGAAUCUGCCAAAACGCCAUUAAAUCACACCAAUUAAGCUGGACCUAGGCAGAGCCCAUCUCUGCUCUCUGUACAUUCCAGUCCACAGAAGGCCAUAAGACAUGGGAGACCAAGACAGUAGGGCUGGAGGCAGAUGUUGAAAGAACCAGGCAGGGAACUCUCUCUUACAAGCUUGAUCAGCGCACUACCCAUAACAUCCCUCUACACACACACACACACACACACACACACACACACACACACACACAUCUUGGCUGAUAUUUCUUUAGUAGUAGUAGUAGUAUGUCUGAGAUUUCUUUAUUAGCAGCAGCAGUAGUAGUAGUAUUAAUAUUAUCAAUAUAUUUUUUUUAAUUUGGGGGAGAAGUUCUCUGUAUGUUAUCAUCGCUGGCCUGGAACUAGCUAUGUAGGACAGACUGGCCUCAGAAACACAAAGCUCUGCCUGCUCCUGCAUCAGUGAUUGAGACUAAAGUACUACUGUGCCCAGUUUGCUGCAGACUUGUGAUUUCGGAGAACAAAAAAACGUAAGAAGGUGAAACUGCACCUUUAAGUAAAACCAAAGCGAGGCCUGAGCCAGGUUCUUCACAGAGGAUUAAAAUCAAUUCCUAUCAGCUCUGUGUUAACCUUUCCUUUUCUCCAGCUGAGGGGAAGAGAAAGAGGGAGUGCAAAAACCUGGCUCUGACUUGGCUGUUGUGGAUGGAGUCUGAGUUCCCUGAAGAGCCCACUCUGAGAGUCCUUGGAGAGAGGGGUGAGUCCCAAGGUCUGGAAGUGCAGUACUCCCGUGGACAACCACCCAGCACUCUGACUUCUCCGAAGCAGUGUACCUGGAUACUCUUUUGCCUCUUUAUUGCUCAUUCAAUAUUCAUUUGUCAAAGGGCAAGAUGCUAAUGUGUAUUAUUAAAAUAUCAAUAGUUUAUGAGUGAACUUUAUGGCAAGUACAGUUAAAGGCAGGAUUCUUGACAAUCUCUCCGAAGCAACAGAAAGGAAUGAUCUUUCUCCGUAGCUUCUUUCUUUCUAGUCUUUCUAAUUUUUUUUUUAAUUCACUGGAUAAAUGAAUGGCAAAAUCACCAUUGAGCACCAUGUGCCAGGAAUGAGUAUUCACAACUGGUUUGCCCCACAGUAGCCCUAGGAAGUGGAUACAAUGUGAUACCUUUAGCUGCUCAAAUUUAACAAGUUUCCUGACCUAAAUUCCAUGAGAGAAUAAAAAAAAGAGGAAAUUAUCUCAUACUUUUAUGUCAAAUCAUCUUCAUAAGUAGGCCCACUUUAACUCUGCCUAAGCAAGUCCCAUAAUCUGAGUGCUAAAGGCAACACUGGGGAUGAUGAUAUCAGACAUUUUCUUGUUUGAGGAGAAUAAACUGAGACUCUCUCUUUUGGAGAGGAGAGGGGAGGUUCUGAGACAGAGGUUCUGAGAGGGGAGGUUCUCUGAGUAUCCCUGGCGAUCUCAGAACUUGUUCUGUAGACCAGGUUGACCCUGAACUCUUUCUUUUAAAUUAGAUUUUAUUAACAUAAUAAUUAUGCACAAUCUAUACAUGCGUACAAUAUGCAUUGACCAAAUAAUGAAGCAGUUCAAGUCUUGAUGAUAGUUGAAUUUCAACUGUUCCAUAGACUUCCUUCCUGUGGUACUUCCCUUGUCCUCUGGGUCUUCUUUCUUUGUACAUACAGAGCUAAUAACAGAAUCCCAUAACAGGGUGAAGUGAGAAAAUGGAUCCCAAGGGCUUAGCAUAGUGCCCAGUAAACACUCAGCAAAUGUUGCUUACUAAUAUUAAAUUUGACUUCACGAGGAAGAAAGCCUUUUCAGCGAGUACCCCUCUUCUCUGCCUGGCCCCUGGUACCAGCCAUUCCUAAGGGCCAGCCUUUGUCAGAUGGACUAGCUCUGUUUCGACUCUUCGGUGACUUGGGAUUCAUUUUUUAUCUCUUAAGUUACAGUUAAGAAGCAGAGCAUCCAGAUUCUCUUCAAAAUUUAGCAGCACCUUUAUCAGGCAUGGGAAAGGAGAAGAGAGUAGUCCUCUUAAGAGUGAGGCUCGUCUUUAAUCCUAGCACUUGGGAGGCAGAGGCAGGCGGAUUUCUGAGUUCAAGGCCAGCCUGGUCUACAGAGUGAGGUUCAGGACAGCCAGCGCUAUACAGAGAAACCCUGUCUUGAACCUCCCCCCAAAAUAAUAAUAAUGAAAUAAAAUAAAAUAAAAUAAAAUAAAAAAGAGUGAGGCUCCCAGACCAGAAUGAGUGAUAGAGGAAAAAGAGACUAGCAGAGGUGUUGGAGAGACCAGGGAGAGGUUGAUUUGCAGAAUUCUUCAACCCCAUCAAGUCCCUCGUAUUCUCCUAAGCUCUGAGAUUUACCUGGAACCUACCCCAACCUUGGCAGCCAUGACAAUGGAGAUGUGGGAAGCCUUGGCAUGAGUAGGGGUCCAGGCUUACAGAAUCCUUGUUUAUAGGUCUAGACUCUAAAUCUAAGAUUUCAAGCUAUGGGUUAUAAAUUAUAUACUGGGUUUACUCUCCCUGGUAUGGGCCAUGGCAUUACAGUUUCCCCCAGCACAGAGCCUGCUAAUACUACCACGCCCUUCCUGGGAAGAGGCUGAGUUUGGCUGUGAAGGGUUUCCAAGGCUAAGGUUUCUUUCCAGGGUGUAAUGCAUGUUAUGUUGGUAAAUCAUCAUGUCUUGUUUAAGCACCCUAAGAUGCUGACUUGGAAGCAAGGUUGCCCCUCAGCCCACUUCAAAUCCAGGCAUGCUUACGUCUUCUAAACAUAAGUCCUAAGGCAGGCUGACCUUGAGCUUCUGUGACAGAAAGGAAAAAACCAACAAACCAACAACCAGUAAGUAGUAGCUAAGGGUGUUAAAAACAGAAGAGCCCGAAGAUAAACCAUUUCCAACCAAGGUUACUACUGCUUAUCCCAUAAUGCAAAAUAUGCCUCCGGUGGGAACAGGAGGCCAGAAAUUCAGCUUCAAGAAGUUAACCUAUAGACGGAAACUGCAACUGGGGACUGCCUCAACUUCCCAGGCUGGUUUCUUCUGGAUGACUGUAAGUGUAACUGAUUUGAUGAUGCCAUUUUCCUGCUGUUAUUUGUUCUUUUAUUUAAAGUCUCACUCGAGAGGACUCUGCUCUGUACAGGGCUCUCUCCGCUGUGAGCUCCAGCUGGCUGCCUCAAUGAGACUUGUCCAGUUUCUACCAGAUCUUUAUAAGCCCUAACUUGAUAUCACCUUUUGUUUGUGCUCUCAGUUGGGAUAUUCCGAUUACCUCUACCACCUGAUUUGAUGAUAUUUUUGCCGUCUGCUGCUUCUAUGGCUACUCACUGUUUAUUCUUUUAUCUUUUGUUAGUUAUCUACUUAAUAAACUCAUUCAUUCAAAACUGAAAGUACAGCAAUCAUAGAUCAUUCUCAGACUGUACAGAACACAUCGUUCCCCCAGGAAGGGUCAAUUUCAAUUGUUCUGAGGAAACAGAUAAGGUCAAUUGUACCAGGCCAGUGGCGGCUCCAGUAGGUUGCGGGCUUCAAAGAUGAGAACAACAGCAUACAAUGGCUUCCAUAUCUAUAGGUUAUAUCGCAGAUUCAGUUAAUCACAGAUAGGAAAUAUUUGAUAAGUAAAGUAUCUGUAAGGAAGAAGGAAGUACAAACAUUGUUUUGUUUCCUGCUAUUUCAUAAGCAACAUAGUAUUGGCAACUAUUCACACAGCGUUUACAUUGUGUUCAGUCUUGUAAAUAAUCUAAAGAUGAUUUCAAGUAUGUGGGAGGAUGUGCAUAGGCUAUUUGUAUGUAUUAUGCCUGCCAGUAUCUGCAUCUUCAGAUUUGGGGCUCUGCAAGGGGUCCAGAACCAUUCCCUGUAAAUACAAAGGGAUGCCUAAAGACAUUUAAACUCACACCCCACCAGCACCACCACCCUGCCACCACACUUGGCUCUUCUUUUAGGGGGUUGUUGAUACUGUUGAGAGGCACUGAGGAUUGUAGACCUUUGUACCUGCUCUGAUGGACAGAAUGAAGUUUGUUGGUGCUACUUGACUUUAUGGAGCAAGUCAUGAAAGGCAAUAAAGCUUCCCCAUGACUUUUGCUCUCCCUCAGGCUGCUUCCCCUUAGAAUUUGGCAGCCAUAUCGUAAGGAAGCCCAGACCACAUGGAAAUGCCAUGAAGUUCUGACCGACAGUUCUCAGUCAAGAGCUAGAAUCAAGGCUCAGAAUUUUGAGUGAAUAAACCUAGGGUGAUUUCACCGUUCAGCUCUGAGUUGCCUUAACUGAAAUCCCAUACCCGAUUGACAGAGACAGGCUGCCUUCACCAUAAAUUCCUGACUCACGAAAUAUAUGGGCAGAAUAAGCACUCAUCUUCUGUGUGUUGGAGGUCAGUUUGUUACACAGCCCAAUAAGACACCACUAGAAUUAAACACUACUGUGUAUUGUUUCCACAAAACUCAGCAUCAAUCAUUGGAUUCCCCUGAAUUCCCUCUGAAGCUUCAGACUUUCUGUCUCUUUCCUGUUGAUCUUGUCCCUGUCACUCUGGGCCUCUCAUCUUCUGCCUCCCUCUUCAAAGAGCACAAUCCUCACACCUGAGGUGGCUUUGGCAACUACUACCUGAAAAACCUUUGACACCUGCCCAACUGAGAGCCCUGGGUCUGCCCUUGGGUUCUCACUGGAGGUCCAAUAGUGUCCCUAUGAGGGAGUUUUCCUUGAGCUUGGGUGGCCCCGUGCUCAGAAUGCCAGAUUUCCUUACACAAUGGUGAGGGAAGAUAUAGACCAAUUUCUCUCCCACUCUCAGCUCUCAUCCAAGUUCACGCUCAGCUUGUUCCUUAAAUAUGUCUUGACUUAUGAGGUCCCAGUAACCUCCGCUAUGAGAAGACAUUGAUUCUCGCAGAAGUCAUUAUCCAGUUGCUCUGACCCACACUCGCGCCCACACCCUUAUCCUCCGUUCUAGGCUUUCCUGGAACAGGAUGGACAAAAGCACCCUUCCCCAUACCUUCAGCCUGGGGAUUCUACCACUCUAGCACCAGGCUUGAGAGGAGGUGUCCUGGGAGCCGAGACCCGUCAAUCACUCACUCAGGCAACCAGCACUGAAUUGCAGGCCAUUAGGCAGAGGACCGGCGCCCUGCUCACUCACCGGGCAGCCAUCGGCAGGAUGUUAGCCGAUCACAAGGCGGCCAUUCUUAUGAUUUAUUCAAACACUCAUUACAGUCAAUCUAUUUUUACACAGAGGUGAAGAUGUGCACUGAUAACGGUUAAUCAUUUAUAAUUCCAUGAACUGGUUGAAAGCCAAUGUACUAUCAAAGUCGCAGCAGUAGUUCCUCAGGCCUCAGCCCCUGAAGCAAAAAAGAGAAGUCUUUAUGCUGGCCCUGGGUAACCCGGUCACAUGCUUGCUAACACUUAUCAACUAGGUAGAAGGUGAGUCCCAGACCUGCUCCGCUGGACCUCAUGCCCUGCUGGAGGAAGCACGAGCCAGAGAUGCGGGCAGAGAGGCGGUUCCGCAGAAUACCAGAAGAGAGAGGUCACAUCGAGCUGGAGUUACCAAGAAGUACUGUGCAGAGAAGCCAGAACUUUGGCCAGGUCCUACAGGAGGAACUUAAGGUGAAAAGUCCAGAGGGGGUUGAAAGAAAACUGUGCAUGAAAAAG